UACGGGAGGCAGCAGUGGGGAAUAUUGCACAAUGGGCGCAAGCCUGAUGCAGCCAUGCCGCGUGUAUGAAAAAGGCCUUCGGGUUGUAAAGUACUUUCAGUCGUGAGGAAGGUGUUAAGGUUAAUAACCUUAGCAAUUGACGUUAGCGACAGAAGAAGCACCGGCUAACUCCGUGCCAGCAGCCGCGGUAAUACGGAGGGUGCGAGCGUUAAUCGGAAUUACUGGGCGUAAAGGGCACGCAGGCGGUUAAUUAAGUUGGAUGUGAAAUCCCCGGGCUUAACCUGGGAAUGGCAUUCAAGACUGGUUAGCUAGAGUCUUGUAGAGGGGGGUAGAAUUCCGAUGUGUAGCGGUGAAAUGCGUAGAGAUGUGGAGGAAUACCGGUGGCGAAGGCGGCCCCUGGACAAAGACUGACGCUCAUGUGCGAAAGCGUGGGGAGCAAACGAGGGAUUAGAUACC
rnacentral:rRNA from 1 species